rnacentral:rRNA from 1 species
UGUUGGUGAGGUAACGGCUCACCAAGGCGACGACGGGUAGCCGGCCUGAGAGGGCGACCGGCCACACUGGGACUGAGACACGGCCCAGACUCCUACGGGAGGCAGCAGUGGGGAAUAUUGCACAAUGGGCGCAAGCCUGAUGCAGCGACGCCGCGUGAGGGAUGACGGCCUUCGGGUUGUAAACCUCUUUCAGCAGGGAAGAAGCGAAAGUGACGGUACCUGCAGAAGAAGCGCCGGCUAACUACGUGCCAGCAGCCGCGGUAAUACGUAGGGCGCAAGCGUUGUCCGGAAUUAUUGGGCGUAAAGAGCUCGUAGGCGGCUUGUCACGUCGGAUGUGAAAGCCCGGGGCUUAACCCCGGGUCUGCAUUCGAUACGGGCAGGCUAGAGUUCGGUAGGGGAGAUCGGAAUUCCUGGUGUAGCGGUGAAAUGCGCAGAUAUCAGGAGGAACACCGGUGGCGAAGGCGGAUCUCUGGGCCGAUACUGACGCUGAGGAGCGAAAGCGUGGGGAGCGAACAGGAUUAGAUACCCUGGUAGUCCACG